UACGUAGGGUGCGAGCGUUAAUCGGAAUUACUGGGCGUAAAGCGUGCGCAGGCGGUGAUGUAAGACAGUUGUGAAAUCCCCGGGCUCAACCUGGGAACUGCAUCUGUGACUGCAUCGCUGGAGUGCGGCAGAGGGGGAUGGAAUUCCGCGUGUAGCAGUGAAAUGCGUAGAUAUGCGGAGGAACACCGAUGGCGAAGGCAAUCCCCUGGGCCUGCACUGACGCUCAUGCACGAAAGCGUGGGGAGCAAACGGG
rnacentral:rRNA from 1 species